GAGCCUUUAUGCUAGUUAGACAUGGAUCACAAAAAAAUCCUAAGCAUUGACUAUUUAAUGACAGUGUGGAGUACGUUACGUGGAGAUGGUUCGUCCGGACUGAGAGCAACUGCCUCGAUUUUGAGCUUUUUGUCCAGGUAUUCGAGGUACCCCUGCUGUUAUUUUUCUUUGUCACUUCGUAUACUGAUCAGGAGCUCGGUGAUCAGCUCUCUCGACUGAUCAAGUGACCUGAUCACGGCCACACUGUUAGUUAUGUUUUCAUGCCAUUGUGCAGUCCGCACUUUUCGUGUUGGCUCCCGAUCCAUCAACUUACUGCUCAAAUCUGUAUUUGUGUGCAUAGUGGAUGGGGGUGGGGACAGAACAUACACAGUGCCAAAAAAUGCUGAUGUUGGAGAAAAAAGACCUCUACGAAAUUGUUUAAUCCGAGGUUUCUGCAGCUGAAGCAUGGUGAGCGAAGGGUGCUUUUCAGGAGACCAAGCUCGUGCUGGUGACGUUGAUUGUUGAUGUCGGCAUCACUGCUUAUUAUUCUCCGUCUCAAUGCAAAGUUCCAUUCACAUUAUCAAUCUUUAAAGGUGAUUGUUGUCUGCGUCAUAUUGGGCUGCAUGUUGCGUUGCAGUUGAUCACAACCCUAUUUUCGCCUAUUUGUCAUAUGUGGCCUCAUGACCUUGACCUAAGCAGCUUUACUUAUGUUCCUCUAAACAGUCAGUUUCUGAACUUCCUGGGGCUCAAACAACUAAUCUUGGAGUUCAGAUUAUGUGUCGCCGAUGAAAAGACGAGGUGCUGUUCCUGGCAUCUCGUUGAUUCCAUUAAGGAUCAUGCUUGCAGGCGUUUAAGCCAGUUCCUCCUUCCCGGAAUUUUUCUUGGGAGUUCUAGACGCCUCUAUGCGGCCGCUGAGUAAGCUAACAUGAGCACGUCGCGAAGCUGCACGAAAGUCUUCACAUCGAAAAUGCGUAUACAUCUCGGUGAUCUUUGAACUCAAGAGUUUAACGCUUACCUUUUGAGGGUAGAAUCCACUUUCGUUAGCCUCACCCAUCACUGACGAAGCGAGACGGCGGUUUCUGAUCUGAAGCUGCGACGUGAGGCCCCACAAUGUGAACUGGCGUGGUAUUAGCGAUAUAGAAUGUAUGGAACAAUCAGGUCUAAGCAGAGAUGAUGUCCAGAAACAUUAAGUCACAGUGGUCGUUUCACGUUAUGGAUACUGAGUCGUGAGAUUCAACUUAACAAGAAAAUUGUUGCGUGAAGGACUAGGAAUGUGAUUUGUGAGGUGCAUCUCUCACAUCUUUUGAGGUAUAGACAAGAAUUAAACUUCUACCAAAAAUGAUUCUUAUUCUGCAGGUUUGUUGGAACAAGCCCAGAUUGAUUAGCAAGAAGAUUAGACUAGACUUGUCAACGAACAUUUUAGACUAAAUGUCGACUAAUUUUAUGAUAGGCUGAUAUGCCAUUUCCUCGUCGCA